rnacentral:rRNA from 1 species
UACGGAGGGUGCAAGCGUAUCCGGAUUCACUGGGUUUAAAGGGUGCGUAGGCGGAUAAGUAAGUCAGUGGUGAAAUCUCCGAGCUUAACUCGGAACUGCCGUUGAUACUAUUGUCUUGAAUAUUGUGGAGGUAAGCGGAAUAUGUCAUGUAGCGGUGAAAUGCUUAGAUAUGACAUAGAACACCAAUUGCGAAGGCAGCUUACUACACAAUGAUUGACGCUGAGGCACGAAAGCGUGGGGAUCAAACAGG